GACGAAGGGAGCUAGCGUUGUUCGGAAUCACUGGGCGUAAAGCGCACGUAGGCGGAUGUGUCAGUCAGGGGUGAAAUCCCGGAGCUCAACUUCGGAACUGCCUUUGAUACAGCACGUCUUGAGUCCGGAAGAGGUGGGUGGAAUUCCUAGUGUAGAGGUGAAAUUCGUAGAUAUUAGGAAGAACACCGGUGGCGAAGGCGGCCCACUGGUCCGGUACUGACGCUGAGGUGCGAAAGCGUGGGGAGCAAACAGG
rnacentral:rRNA from 1 species